CGAACGGGUGAGUAACACGUGAGCAACCUACCUUACACAGGGGAGUAGCCGUGGAACGACGAUUAAUACCGCAUGAGACCACAGAAUCGCAUGAUAUAGGGGUCAAAGAUUUAUCGGUGUAAGAAGGGCUCGCGUCUGAUUAGCUAGUUGGAAGGGUAAAGGCCUACCAAGGCGACGAUCAGUAGCCGGUCUGAGAGGAUGAACGGCCACAUUGGAACUGAGACACGGUCCAA
rnacentral:rRNA from 1 species